rnacentral:rRNA from 1 species
UGGGGAAUAUUGCACAAUGGGCGCAAGCCUGAUGCAGCCAUGCCGCGUGUGUGAAGAAGGUUUUCGGAUCGUAAAACUCUGUUGUUAGAGAAGAACAAGGACGUUAGUAACUGAACGUCCCCUGACGGUAUCUAACCAGAAAGCCACGGCUAACUACGUGCCAGCAGCCGCGGUAAUACGUAGGUGGCAAGCGUUGUCCGGAUUUAUUGGGCGUAAAGCGAGCGCAGGCGGUUUCUUAAGUCUGAUGUGAAAGCCCCGGCUCAACCGGGGAGGGUCAUUGGAAACUGGGAGACUUGAGUGCAGAAGAGGAGAGUGGAAUUCCAUGUGUAGCGGUGAAAUGCGUAGAUAUAUGGAGGAACACCAGUGGCGAAGGCGGCUCUCUGGUCUGUAACUGACGCUGAGGCUCGAAAGCGUGGGGAGCAAACAGG